UCGAGAAUCUUCGGCAAUGGGCGAAAGCCUGACUGAGCGACGCCGCGUGCGGGAUGAAGGCCUUCGGGUUGUAAACCGCUGUCAGUGGGGAGGAAAUGCUGGAGGGUUCUCCCUUCAGUUUGACCUAUCCGCAGAGGAAGUACGGGCUAAGUUCGUGCCAGCAGCCGCGGUAACACGAACCGUACGAACGUUAUUCGGAAUCACUGGGCUCAAAGGGUGCGUAGGCGGCUUAGUAAGUUGGGUGUGAAAUCCCUCGGCUUAACCGAGGAAUUGCGCUCAAAACUGCCAGGCUAGAGGAAGUCAGAGGUGAGUGGAACUUAGGGUGGAGCGGUGAAAUGCGUUGAUAUCCUAAGGAACACCAGUGGCGAAAGCGACUCACUGGGGCUUUUCUGACGCUGAGGCACGAAAGCUAGGGGAGCGAACGG
rnacentral:rRNA from 1 species